UCAAACCAUUUUUGCUCGGGACAGGACUGGCACGGUACCAGAAAAAGGAUUUUUCCUUGGAAAAAAUCACUGGAAACACUUCAUGGAAAUCCUACAUCCCACUUUAACUGAAACUCUCAAAUUUGACAGAAAUCCAAUGGAAAAUCUUGACGUUUCAUUCUAAAAUAUUGUAUAAAUAAAUGUGAAGAAUCCAGCCUAUGUCCAGACAUAAGUUUGCAAAAUCCAUAGAAUGAAGUGUUGGACAAAAAUAACAGAUAUGUAACACAUUGAAGAAGAAAAGGAAGCCAUGAGUUGCAUUAUUGGGGAGAUCAUCUUCUGGGCACCCAAUCCAGGUCUUUAUGAUGUAAGUCAAGUGGACUACUUUGUGACUCUAGCUCUAUCCCUCCACUUUUACCUCUAGAUGUGAGGAUUCAAAUGCUGUCCUAGGAAACUGAACUGGCCAACAAGACUAGAAGGCAAACCAGAUCAUGUCCAGGAACUUCUGUUGUAGAACAAGAAUUACAAGUAAAAUCAUAGUAUAGCUCGGGCUGGCGUGGAUUUCAGGAGCUGCCAAUCCCAACUUCCCUCCCAAAGCAGGUUCAGACUUGGCAUUAGACAGCUCCCCAGAGCUUGAAAAUCUCCAAAGAUGGAGAUGCAAAACCUCACUUGGUUCUUCUUGUCUCCAAUCUAAACCUCUCUUAUUUCAACUUACAAAAUUGUCUCUCAUCCAUUCACCACAUGCUUCCACCUCCAGGAAGGCCCUGUAACUCUCUCUUCUCAAGACUGAACAAGUCCAUAUCCUUCAGUGCCCACUUACAGAUAUGCGCACUCCAGCUCCUGACUGUCUUAGCAGCCCUUUGCUGAACUUACUCCAACAAACACCUUUCCCACAACUGCAGAAGAGUGAGAGUAAAAGCAGAAAUGCAUGUGAAUGUUGUAUAAUAAAUACAGAAGAGAGCUGGAUAAGUAUUUCUCUCAAUUUCCUGCCUACACCUGCAUUCACACAGCUCAAGAGACAUUUUUGAUCUUCCCUACAGCCAAGGCACAUUGCUAGCACAUGUUCAGCUACCUGACAACCACAGGGCCUCAUCCAGCCUGUACUCUCAGCCACUCUGUCCCCAGUCUGCAGUCUGCAGUUACAGGUCUCUUGAAGUCCUCUGAAGUCUAUGAAGAGAGCUUCAUAGAACUGUCAUUCCUCCCCGUUUUGGCCAGAAGAUUAUUGUAGAAAUAGAUUAAAAGAAUAAUUUUUUCAGCGACCACUUUUGUUCUAGAUUUCCCUAAGACAACUUGCCUACAAUGGUCAAUCUGUACGUUUGCUGUAAGGAAAGAUAAGUUUUUUAACACCCUGUGAAGGAUAGUUAACAGAUUAUUUGAGAAAAUAUGCUCAACACAGAAAUUACAUACCAGUCAAUGAUGUGAAAACUGCCAGUUUUACCCUUUGCCCUAACACAAGUAACUCCAAGUUGAAUCACCUAGAUUAAAAUAAAAUGUCCUGCUAGAUAACUCUUAUUCCUAAGAAAUUAUCUGCCAUGUUUAUUCCACUCUUCAAGGGAAAAACCCCCUAACAAUCAACCAAAUACAAAACAACCACAAACUGCACACCAUAUUGUAUUGAGUACCUUAAGCAUCUCCUGUUCCUUUGGUUUUAUUGAUGCCUUAAAGACCUAGAAAUGAGCAACACACUUUUGAGACAGUAUUAGAACAGGAGGUAAUAUAAAGGCUGGUCUUCAUUGGAAGCCUUCAAGCGGCAGGUUUAUACAUUUAGCAAAUCAGCAUAAUUGAAAAGAAUCCUAAAUUAGAAGCACAAGCGAUGAGGUAAUUCGCCCUGGUUCUACCCUUUCUUGAACUGCCCCCUGCCUUAGGUAGGAGCUAAACUUUAUUUAUGAAAAUGUGUCUCCAAGAGCUGGUUUGAACCUUGGCUCCCAAAGAGAACCAAGACAGGAUAGGGGCCUUGGACCCCUGGGACUUGGAGCUUCUGGAAUGUACUUUGUCUUUCUGCCUAUCAGGGAAGGGAAAAGUACUGGAGAUACCUAGGAACUGUAUAACUAUACAACAACAGUCUACAGAAAUAUAUAUAUGAAGGAAAUAUAAAACAAAAAAUAAUUCUGCCAUCAUUAUGGUAAACACCCAUUUCCAUACUAGCAAGUUAAAUGCUGUAACUAGAGCACACACUUUUGCAUAAGUCUGUGGAAGACUAAAGUACUUCAUGUGGAAUGAACAUAUUUCAAAAAACAAAAUCUAAAUACUACCCAAAGAGAACAGAUCACUGGGAGGUCAGAAGCAUAGUUAUAAAACAAAGUUAAACUCAUGAUCAUGCAGUUUGUUUUACAGAGACAACACAAGCAAUUUUAUUAGAGGAUUUAUGUAUUAUGAAUCAACAUCUCAUUUCCCACUGUUAACACCCAAUUACAUCUUCAAGCCAUUUUUAACGGCCAAAACCUGUUACUUUCCCCUUCUUAUACUACAAACUCUGGGACAAGUACUAAAAUUUCUGACCAAAACUUACACACACACACACACUGCUUACUUUAUCACACAUGAUAAAAACAUAACUUCUAUUUUCCUAUCUGCCAGAUCCGCUUGCUUUCCUGAC